rnacentral:rRNA from 1 species
GACGAACGCUGGCGGCGUGCUUAACACAUGCAAGUCGAACGGAAAGGCCUCUUUCGGGGGGUACUCGAGUGGCGAACGGGUGAGUAACACGUGAGUAACCUGCCCUCGACUUUGGGAUAACUUCAGGAAACUGGGGCUAAUACCGGCUAGGAGCUCCUUCUGCAUGGUGGGGGCUGGAAAGUUUCGGCGGUUGGGGUUGGACUGGCGGCUUAUCAGCUUGUUGGUGGGGGAGUGGCUUACCAAGGCUUUGGCGGGUAGCCGGACUGAGAGGGUGAGCGGCCACAGUGAGACUGAGAUGCGGCCCAGGCACCUACUGGAGGGAGCAGUGGGGAAUAUUGAACGAUGGGUGGAGGCCGAAUGCAGAAGCUCCGAGGACGGGAUAACGGUCUUCGGAUUGUAAACCGCUUUCGCUCAUAACGAAGCUUUGUGUGACGGUAGUGGGUAAAGAAGCACCGGCUAACUACGUG